AAAAACAUCAGGAAAGGUAGACGAAAGCGCUUUAUCAAAAUUGGAUAUAGAAUUAAAGAAGUAUCAUAAUCUCAGUGCAACUCAAAUCACUGACACGGAGCAAAAAGUUGCCAAUGUCUGGAUUGAAGUCCUUAACAUUCGAGGUAUAGAGUUGGAUGACAGCUUCUUUGAAUUAGGAGGAAAUUCUUUGCUAGCUGCAAACCUAAUGAAAACGUUAGAAAAAGAAUUUCAAGUUGAUUUACGUGUUUCUGACUUAUUUAUGUACACAAACAUUAAAAUACUGAGUCAGUAUAUAGAGGCAAAGAAAAAUAACAAGACGGAAGAACUCAUUAAAAUAUCUGAAGUGCAGGUAAACCUCAAAAGUGAAGUCAACAGCCAUAAGUUGAGGAAUAUAAACAGCUUUAAUCAACAGAUAAAAGGUUUUUGGUAUCAAAAACAUAACCUAGAUAAUAACAGAAACUACACUCAUGGAAUAGUUUUACUGACAGGUGCUACUGGAUUUCUUGGAUCUUUCAUACUGAGAGAACUGCUACUUCAGA